AUUGAACGCUGGCGGCAGGCCUAACACAUGCAAGUCGAACGCGUGGCGGACGGGUGAGUAAUGUCUGGGAAACUGCCUGAUGGAAGGGGAUAACUACUGGAAACGGUAUCUAAUACCGCAUACCAUCAGAUGUGCCCAGAUGGGAUGAGCUAGUAGGUGGGGUAACGGCUCACCUAGGCGACGAUCCCCAGCUGGUCUGAGAGGAUGACCAGCCACACUGGAAAUGGGCCACGGUCAAGAGUCCUACGGGAGGCAGCAGUGGGGAAUAUUGCACAGUGGGCGCAAGCCUGAUGCAGCCAGGCAGCGUGUGUGAAGAAGGCCUUCGGGUUGUAAAGUACUUUCGGCGGGGAGGCGUUACCCGCAGAAGAAGCACCGGCUAACUCCGUGCCAGCAGCCGCGGUAAUUC
rnacentral:rRNA from 1 species